CUGUGCUGACCCCCCGUGGCUCCCACCCUCUGUAACAGCAACUCCAUGUGGAAGUGCCCACUGGUUCCAGUGGGGCUGCUGUUAUCUGGGGUGGCGGCUAGUACCAGCAGAGGAAGAG
rnacentral:pre_miRNA from 7 species